ACGAACGCUGGCGGCGUGCCUAACACAUGCAAGUCGAGCGGAGACAGUGAGUAGCUUGCUACGAACUGUUUUAGCGGCGGACGGGUGAGUAACGCGUGAGCAACCUUUCCCAGACAGGGGAAUAACACACCGAAAGGUGUACUAAUACCGCAUAAGACCACGGGAUCACAUGGUUCUGAGGUAAAAGAUUUAUCGGUUUGGGGUGGGCUCGCGUCCGAUUAGGUAGUUGGUGAGGUAACGGCCCACCAAGCCGACGAUCGGUAGCCGACCUGAGAGGGUGAUCGGCCACAUUGGGACUGAGACACGGCCCAAACUCCUACGGGAGGCAGCAGUGGGGAAUAUUGGGCAAUGGAGGAAACUCUGACCCAGCAACGCCGCGUGGAGGAAGAAGGUUUUCGGAUCGUAAACUCCUGUCCUUGGAGACGAGUAGAAGACGGUAUCCAAGGAGGAAGCCCCGGCUAACUACGUGCCAGCAGCCGCGGUAAUACGUAGGGGGCAAGCGUUGUCCGGAAUAAUUGGGCGUAAAGGGCGCGUAGGCGGCUCGGUAAGUCUGGAGUGAAAGUCCUGCUUUUAAGGUGGGAAUUGCUUUGGAUACUGUCGGGCUUGAGUGCAGGAGAGGUUAGUGGAAUUCCCAGUGUAGCGGUGAAAUGCGUAGAGAUUGGGAGGAACACCAGUGGCGAAGGCGACUAACUGGACUGUAACUGACGCUGAGGCGCGAAAGUGUGGGGAGCAAACAGGAUUAGAUACCCUGGUAGUCCACACUGUAAACGAUGAAUGCUAGGUGUAGGGGGUAUCGACCCCUUCUGUGCCGCAGUCAACACAAUAAGCAUUCCGCCUGGGGAGUACGGCCGCAAGGUUGAAACUCAAAGGAAUUGACGGGGGCCCGCACAAGCAGCGGAGCAUGUGGUUUAAUUCGACGCAACGCGAAGAACCUUACCAGGUCUUGACAUCCACUUAAACUUACAGAGAUGUAAGGUGUGCUUGCACAAAGUGAGACAGGUGGUGCAUGGUUGUCGUCAGCUCGUGUCGUGAGAUGUUGGGUUAAGUCCCGCAACGAGCGCAACCCCUAUCCUCAGUAGCCAGCAUUUAAGGUGGGCACUCUGGGGAGACUGCCAGGGAUAACCUGGAGGAAGGCGGGGAUGACGUCAAAUCAUCAUGCCCCUUAUGAUUUGGGCUACACACGUGCUACAAUGGCGUAAACAAAGAGAAGCGAUCCUGUGAGGGGGAGCAAAUCUCAAAAAUAACGUCUCAGUUCGGAUUGUAGUCUGCAACUCGACUACAUGAAGCUGGAAUCGCUAGUAAUCGCGGAUCAGAAUGCCGCGGUGAAUACGUUCCCGGGCCUUGUACACACCGCCCGUCACACCAUGGGAGUUGGGAGUGCCCAAAGCCGGUGAGGCAACCGCAAGGAGCCAGCCGUCUAAGGCAAGACCAAUGACUGGGGUG
rnacentral:rRNA from 1 species